AAAAGCGGAGGAAAAGAAACCAACAGGGAUUGCCUUAGUAGCGGCGAGUGAAGCGGCAAAAGCUCAAAUUUGAAAUCUGGCUCUUUCAGAGUCCGAGUUGUAAUUUGAAGAAGGUAUCUUUGGGUCUGGCUCUUGUCUAUGUUUCUUGGAACAGAACGUCACAGAGGGUGAGAAUCCCGUGCGAUGAGAUGAUCCAGGCCUAUGUAAAGUUCCUUCGAAGAGUCGAGUUGUUUGGGAAUGCAGCUCUAAGUGGGUGGUAAAUUCCAUCUAAAGCUAAAUAUUGGCGAGAGACCGAUAGCGAACAAGUACAGUGAUGGAAAGAUGAAAAGAACUUUGAAAAGAGAGUGAAAAAGUACGUGAAAUUGUUGAAAGGGAAGGGCUUGAGAUCAGACUUGGUAUUUUGUAUGUUACUUCUUCGGGGGUGGCCUCUACAGUUUAUCGGGCCAGCAUCAGUUUGGGCGGUAGGAGAAUUGCGUUGGAAUGUGGCACGGCUUCGGUUGUGUGUUAUAGCCUUCGUCGAUACUGCCAGCCUAGACUGAGGACUGCGGUUUAUACCUAGGAUGUUGGCAUAAUGAUCUUAAGUCGCCCGUCUUGAACCACGGACCAAAA
rnacentral:rRNA from 1 species